rnacentral:rRNA from 1 species
UACGAAGAGGGCUAGCGUUGUUCGGAAUUACUGGGCGUAAAGCGAACGUAGGCGGUGUUCCAUGUCAGAGGUGAAAGCCUGGGGCUCAACUCCAGAAUUGCCUUUGAAACGGGAUUGCUUGAGUCCGAGAGAGGAUGGCGGAAUUCCUAGUGUAGAGGUGAAAUUCGUAGAUAUUAGGAAGAACACCGGUGGCGAAGGCGGCCAUCUGGCUCGGUACUGACGCUCAGGCGCGAAAGCGUGGGGAGCAAACAGG